UUAUCUGACAUCUAAAGAUUCUUUAAUUAGUUCAGACGUUGAUAUAACAAUGAAAAGUCGACUGGACAUGAUUAAUAUUGUAUCUUCUAUAAUUCAAAGCGGAAUUCGGUUUAUGAACGAGAAACCGUAAAAGCGUUUCUAGUUAUGUAUGUUGUCUACGUAUUAUCAUGAUUCCCGGUACUACGUUCCGGGUAUUAGCUAUUUGAUAUAUGUGAUGUGUAACAUUACGAUCGGGUACCAGCCAAUCUACGUGUGUAUGUGUACAUGAUUUCCCGCCAAAAUGGCCGAUUUACAGCUAAAAAAAUAGUCCAUAAACGUUCCGUAUAAUGAUAUGCAAAUUCAUGAUUAAUCGUAACUUUUUUUUAUCUUUGUAUAAUAAAUAUAACAAAAUGGAUUCCACAAAAUUGAAAAUAGCAUUAUUUUACGAGGAUUUCUCAUAUUUUUCUCACUUCCGGCGCAGUAAUACAUAUGUUUUGAAGAAGCUCGAAGGAUUUGACAAAGUGAAUUGAGAAGGGAACGGAUAGAUAUACGUCCUUGCUAUCAGGGCACAAACCCACUUUAAAGAGACUUGUCUACUGCCAUACCCAUCCUAUUUUCAUGCUCCAUUUGCAAGCAAGAGACUGAAUGGUUUGCAAAAUUAAAAAUCAGGACGGUGUCCAAUUAAAACAAAGAACUAAACUGGAUGAAUAUUGUAGGAGAAAUCUAGAGGAAAGUUUUGAUUUGUGAAAUUGGUUUUCCUGAUAAGUCAUUCAUCCUAGCCUGCAGAAAGGAACUAUAACUGUCCACCACCAACUGACGAGCUAAUGUUGAGCUUCACAUAUGGAAUUACUCAAAUACCAUCAAUGUCUAUGUUUUCAGCACAGAUUUCACAAGUUAUGACAAAGCUGUGCUUUUUUUUUAUACCUGUUAAAGAGUUGUAUACUAAAUUUAAUUUUUUUAUCAAUAAAUAUAUAUUGUGUCA